rnacentral:rRNA from 1 species
GACGAACGCUGGCGGCGUGCUUAACACAUGCAAGUCGAACGAAGUGGCGAACGGGUGAGUAACGCGUAAUCAACCUGCCCUUCAGAGGGGGACAACAGUUGGAAACGACUGCUAAUACCGCAUACUGAAGGAGGGGAUUGCGUCUGAUUAGCUAGUUGGAGGGGUAACGGCCCACCAAGGCGAUGAUCAGUAGCCGGUGUGAGCGGUUGAACGGCGACAUUGGGACUGAGGCACGACCCGGGCGCCUACGGGCGGCAGCAGUGGGGAACCUUCCGCAAUGGACGAAAGUCUGACGGGCCAAGGCAGCGUGAGGGAUGACGGCCUUCGGGUUGUAAAGCUCUGUUAAUCGGGACGCGGUACCGGAAUAGAAAGCCACGGCUAACUACGUGCCUGCAGCCGCGGUAAUUC